rnacentral:rRNA from 1 species
GACAGAGGUGCCGAGCGUUAGGCGGAAUCACUGGGCUUAAAGCGUGUGUAGGCGGGCGGGCAAGUACCUUGUGAAAUCCCACGGCUCAACCGUGGAACUGCUGGGUAUACUGGUUGUCUUGAGCCAGCUAGGGGCGAGCGGAACAGACGGUGGAGCGGUGAAAUGCGUAGAGAUCGGAAAGAACACCAGCGGCGAAAGCACUCUGCUGGGCCGACACUGACACUGAGAGACGAAAGCUAGGGGAGCGAAUGGG